rnacentral:rRNA from 1 species
UACGUAGGGUGCGAGCGUUGCCCGGAUUUAUUGGGCGUAAAGGGCGCGUAGGCGGCCACGCACGUCCGUUGUGAAAUCGCUCGGCUCAACUGGGCGGGGUCGGCGGAUACGGUGUGGCUAGAGCAAGCUAGGGGGCAAUGGAAUUCCCGGUGUAGUGGUGGAAUGCGUAGAUAUCGGGAGGAACACCAGUGGCGAAGGCGGUUGCCUGGAGCUUUGCUGACGCUGAUGCGCGAAAGCGUGGGGAGCGAUCCGG